AUGAACAAGAAGCGUGAGGCUGAGUUCCAGAAGCUGCGUCGUGAUCUUGAAGAGUCCACCCUGCAGCAUGAGGCCACAGCCGCCGCUCUGCGCAAGAAGCAGGCCGACAGUCAACAUGGAGCCGUCGCCAAGGCAAAGGGCAAUCUGGAGAAGAUUGUGCCGUACUCUUGAGGACCAGCUGAGUGAGCUGAAGACUAAGAAUGAUGAGAAUGUUCGCCAGGUCAACGACAUCAGCGGACAGAGAGCCAGACUCCUGACAGAAAAUGGUGAGUUUGGCCGCCAGCUGGAGGAGAAGGAAGCCCUGGUGUCUCAGCUGACCAGAGGAAAACAGGCCUUUACCCAGCAGGUGGAGGAGCUGAAGAGGGCGAUUGAGGAGGAGGUCAAGGCUAAAAAUGCACUGGCCCACGGUGUUCAGUCUGCCCGCCAUGACUGUGACCUCCUGAGGGAGCAGUUUGAGGAGGAGCAGGAGGCCAAGGCAGAGCUGCAACGCGGCAUGUCCAAGGCCAACAGUGAGGUGGCUCAGUGGAGGACUAAGUAUGAAACUGAUGCUAUCCAGCGCACAGAGGAGCUGGAGGAGGCCAAGAAGAAGCUGGCCCAGCGUCUGCAGGAUGCUGAGGAGACAUUGAGGCGACUAACUCCAGUUGCGCCUCCCUGGAGAAGACCAAGCAGAGGCUGCAGGGAGAGGUGGAGGACCUCAUGAUUGAUGUUGAGAGAGCCAACGCAUUGGCCGCCAACCUCGACAAGAAGCAGAGGAACUUUGACAAGGUUCUGGCAGAGUGGAAGCAGAAGUAUGAGGAGGGCCAGGCUGAGCUGGAAGGAGCUCAGAAGGAGGCUCGCUCUAUGAGCACUGAACUCUUCAAGAUGAAGAACUCCUACGAGGAGGCCCUGGAUCAUCUGGAGACUCUGAAGAGAGAGAACAAGAACCUGCAACAGGAGAUCUCUGACCUGACUGAGCAGAUCGGAGAGACUGGCAAGAGCAUCCAUGAGCUGGAGAAGGCCAAGAAGACCGUGGAGACAGAGAAGUCUGAGAUCCAGACCGCUCUGGAGGAGGCUGAGGGCACACUGGAGCACGAGGAAUCCAAGAUUCUGCGUGUGCAGCUGGAGCUGAACCAGAUCAAGGGAGAGGUGGACAGGAAGAUCGCAGAGAAGGACGAGGAGAUGGAGCAGAUCAAGAGGAACAGCCAGAGGGUGGUUGACUCCAUGCAGAGCACCCUGGACUCUGAGGUUAGGAGCAGGAAUGAUGCCCUGAGGGUGAAGAAGAAGAUGGAGGGAGACCUGAACGAGAUGGAGAUCCAGCUGAGCCACUCCAACAGGAUGGCCUCCGAGGCCCAGAAACAGCUGAGGAAUGUCCAGGGACAGCUCAAGGAUGCCCAAUUGCACCUUGAUGACGCCGUCCGUGUCGCAGAAGACAUGAAGGAGCAGGCAGCCAUGGUGGAGCGCAGAAACGGUCUGAUGGUGGCUGAAAUCGAGGAGCUGAGAGUUGCUCUGGAGCAGACAGAGAGAGGCCGCAAAGUGGCUGAGACUGAGCUGGUUGACGCCAGCGAGCGCGUUGGACUGCUGCACUCCCAGAACACCAGCCUUCUGAACACCAAGAAGAAGCUGGAGACUGAUCUGGUGCAGGUGCAGGGAGAGGUGGACGACAUUGUCCAGGAGGCCAGGAAUGCAGAGGAGAAGGCCAAGAAGGCCAUCACUGACGCGGCCAUGAUGGCUGAGGAGCUGAAGAAGGAGCAGGACACCAGCUCUCACCUGGAGAGGAUGAAGAAGAACCUGGAGAUCACAGUCAAGGACCUGCAGCACCGCCUGGAUGAGGCUGAGAAUCUGGCCAUGAAGGGAGGCAAGAAGCAGCUCCAGAAACUGGAGUCCAGGGUGCGUGAGCUCGAGACUGAGGUGGAGGCUGAGCAGAGAAGAGGUGCAGACGCAGUCAAGGGAGUCCGCAAGUAUGAGCGCAGAGUCAAGGAGCUCACUUACCAGACUGAGGAGGAUAAGAAGAACGUUAGCAGACUUCAGGACCUGGUAGAUAAGCUGCAGAUGAAAGUGAAGACCUACAAGAGGCAUUCUGAGGAAGCGGAGGAAGCAGCAAACCAGCACAUGUCUAAGUUCAGGAAGGUUCAGCAUGAGCUGGAGGAGGCUGAGGAGCGUGCUGACAUCGCUGAGACUCAGGUCAACAAGCUCAGAGCUAAGACCCGUGACUCUGGAAAGGGAAAAGAAGUUGCUGAAUAAACAAGACCAAAGUAUUGAAGAUCAAAGUCUUACCAUUUUCCUGUGAUGCAUAAAAUAUGAUUUUCAUGGUGAAAUGUUGAGCAUUGAUUAAAAACAUGUGGAUCUA